rnacentral:rRNA from 1 species
CCUACGGGUGGCAGCAGUGAGGAAUAUUGGUCAAUGGGCGAAAGCCUGAACCAGCCAAGUCGCGUGAGGGAGUACUGCCCUAUGGGUUGUAAACCUCUUUUGUCGGGGAGCAAAAGCCGGACGUGUCCGGCUGUGAGAGUACCCGAAGAAAAAGCAUCGGCUAACUCCGUGCCAGCAGCCGCGGUAAUACGGAGGAUGCGAGCGUUAUCCGGAUUUAUUGGGGUUAAAGGGUGCGCAGGGGGAUUUUUAAGUCAGCGGGAAAAGCGUGGGGCUCAACCCCAUCCAGCCGUUGAAACUGGGGAUCUAGAGAGUGCGAGAGGGAUGCGGAAUGCGUGGUGUAGCGGUGAAAUGCAUAGAUAUCACGCAGAACCCCGAUUGCGAAGGCAGCAUACCGGUGCACAACUGACGCUCAGGUACGAAAGCGUGGGUAUCGAACAGGAUUAGAUACCCGGGUAGUC